ensembl:lncRNA
UCCGGUUUACUUAUCUAAAUUCAACACAGGAUUGCCAUACCUAACAGUGAAUCUAUCGACUGUAUUUUAAUCUAUGAGUAAGCAACUGCUGCCUUUCUUCCACCAGUCCUACAGAAGGAGUUCAGAUGAUGAAUUUGAAAUAAAUAGACUUGUUGUAAGUGACUGGAGCUAGGUGCAGUGAACCCCAUCUCUUCUGACCAUGUUAUUAUACUGACACAGUGGGGAAAUAGCGUAGUUGAAAACCACAGCAAUAUUUUCAGCUGUCGUUAGUGACCAUACACAACACCACAGUGUCUUAUCAAAAUAAUGAAUUCAGUUAAGCCGAGGCUAUCUCUGUAGAAAACAGGAAUGUGCAAUCUCCCCUGUGGCUGUUCACUCUUCACCAGCCAUUACCCAAUUUGCUAAGCACUCUCAUACCUCCUCCUGCCUCAGAUCAGUUACUUGUCGCUGUGCUGAGCCUUCUCUCCAUGACUGCUCCAGGCCUUCCCCUCCCACCAACUGUGCUGGAUGCUUCCACGAGAACAAGCUGAAAGCCAAUGCCAAGCUUCAGCAUUUGGAAAACAAAAGCUGAGGUGUAAUUGCAGGAGAGCUAACAUACCUCUGGGUUACUUCCAGCAUAUUAAAUGUAUCAGAAGGCAGGAACAUAAGGGACCUGAUUUUGCUCUUCAAUGUCAAAUUCCAUUAGCUUGUAAGAAGCAAGGAGGUAUCAUCCAUAAGAAGAGAAACUGCAUGUGUGGAAACCACUCCCUAGCUCAUGACUCUGCAGCCAAGAGCUUCCAAAUGCAGUGAGGGAGAUCUCUUGUCAAGCACCUGCACAACCUCUCCAACGGAGCAAUGAAACAAAAGCAGACGUUCUGCUUACAUCCACUUCAAUAUUUAAUAUGCACAAGUGGCUAAACUUCAUUAAGGUACUUACCUUGUAAUAGUAUCAGUAUUCAUCAGUACAGACGUAAAAUCCCGGAGAUGCAAUGCACAAGCAGGGUUCUGGGGCAUCACUUAAGAGUAGGCUCAGUGUUUCAGGGCAAGUGAGGAGUGCCACUGGGCAUCCAUGGACCAAUCUGAAAGAGCCCUCAGAGGGCUGCGGGACAGAGUGGCUAUC